GAUGAACGCUGGCGGCGUGCCUAAUACAUGCAAGUCGAGCGAACAGACGAGGAGCUUGCUCCUCUGACGUUAGCGGCGGACGGGUGAGUAACACGUGGAUAACCUACCUAUAAGACUGGGAUAACUUCGGGAAACCGGAGCUAAUACCGGAUAAUAUAUUGAACCGCAUGGUUCAAUAGUGAAAGACGGUUUUGCUGUCACUUAUAGAUGGAUCCGCGCCGCAUUAGCUAGUUGGUAAGGUAACGGCUUACCAAGGCGACGAUGCGUAGCCGACCUGAGAGGGGGUACGGCCCCCCUGGAAAUGAGACCCGGUCCAGACUCCUACGGGGGGCAGACGUAGGGAAUCUUCCGAAAUGGGCGAAAGCCGGACGGGGCAACGCCCCGGGGGGUAUGAAGGUUUUCGGAUCGUAAAACCUUUUUUUUAGGGAAAAACAAAUUUUUAAGUAACUAUGCACCUUUUGACGGUACCCAAACAGAAAGCCCCGGCUAACUACC
rnacentral:rRNA from 1 species